AUUGAACGCUGGCGGCAUGCCUUACACAUGCAAGUCGAACGGCAGCACGGGAGCAAUCCUGGUGGCGAGUGGCGAACGGGUGAGUAAUAUAUCGGAACGUGCCCAGUCGUGGGGAUAACGUAGCGAAAGCUACGCUAAUACCGCAUACGAUCUAUGGAUGAAAGCGGGGGAUCGCAAGACCUCGCGCGAUUGGAGCGGCCGAUAUCAGAUUAGGUAGUUGGUGAGGUAAAGGCUCACCAAGCCGACGAUCUGUAGCUGGUCUGAGAGGACGACCAGCCACACUGGGACUGAGACACGGCCCAGACUCCUACGGGAGGCAGCAGUGGGGAAUUUUGGACAAUGGGCGCAAGCCCUGAUCCAGCAAUGCCGCGUGCAGGAUGAAGGCCUUCGGGUUG
rnacentral:rRNA from 1 species